CCUACGGGUGGCUGCAGUGGGGAAUAUUGGACAAUGGGGGCAACCCUGAUCCAGCCAUGCCGCGUGUGUGAAGAAGGCCCUCGGGUUGUAAAGCACUUUCAGUGAGGAAGAACGCCUGGUGGUUAAUACCCAUCAGGAAAGACAUCACUCACAGAAGAAGCACCGGCUAACUCCGUGCCAGCAGCCGCGGUAAUACGGAGGGUGCGAGCGUUAAUCGGAAUUACUGGGCGUAAAGCGCGCGUAGGUGGCUUGAUAAGCCGGUUGUGAAAGCCCCGGGCUCAACCUGGGAACGGCAUCCGGAACUGUCAAGCUAGAGUGCAGGAGAGGAAAGUAGAAUUCCCGGUGUAGCGGUGAAAUGCGUAGAGAUCGGGAGGAAUACCAGUUGCGAAGGCGGCCUUCUGGACUGACACUGACACUGAGGUGCGAAAGCGUGGGUAGCAAACAGGAUUAGAUACCCCAGUAGGC
rnacentral:rRNA from 1 species